rnacentral:ribozyme from 1 species
AGCGACAUCAAUCUGUUCGUGAACACCAAACAAACGGCAUUAGCGCUGCACAUUUCAAGUUUUGCCGUGUCGGAUCCGUUCGAC